UACGUAGGGUGCAAGCGUUGUCCGGAAUUAUUGGGCGUAAAGAGCUCGUAGGCGGUCUGUUGCGUCGGCUGUGAAAACCCGGGGCUCAACCCCGGGCCUGCAGCCGAUACGGGCAGACUAGAGUUCGGCAGGGGAGACUGGAAUUCCUGGUGUAGCGGUGAAAUGCGCAGAUAUCAGGAGGAACACCGGUGGCGAAGGCGGCUCUCUGGGCCUUACCUGACGCUGAGGAGCGAAAGCGUGGGUAGCGAACAGG
rnacentral:rRNA from 1 species